GUCGCCUUUCUUGAACACGUCUCUCAGCUUCUUCUUCUCUGUCUGGCUCUUUCCUCCAGCAUAGCCAUUAAAUGGUGUCAGUUGCGUGAUUUUACCAACCAGGAGUCCAACUUCACCUAAGACACGGGAAAGGAAAUUACUACUUUGUGUGCCUGAGUUACAUGUUGGUCCUUAAAAGUCACCUGGGCAGGAUAAGGAUACUAACGAGUUAACAGAACAAGAAGUCCUCCGUACCUCUGGGAACUUUGAUGCAAAAGCCGUUUUCGUCGCGAACAGGCUCGUCUUUUUCCACGUCGUAUUUAAUCAACUCAAAACGUACGGCUUUCUGACAAAAUUAAAAUGCAUCAUCAUGAGUACAAAUCUUCGCGCUUUUUAUAACUUCACUAUGUACAGAAAGCACGCAUGUCUUAAGCCCACAGCUUAAUGACACCUUGCCUUUUUAUAAACCUAUGGGAUUACCGCUGUGAUUAAGAUGGAAAACAUUUGCAUUUUGCGUUCCUCCAACUCCUUUUUGUGAAGCUAACCAGCAUUCUGACUUCCGUUACUCCUAAUUUUAAACCUCAAAUAAAUGAUACAAGUGCA